AGGUUCCACCGAGAUUUGAACUCGGAUCGCAGGAUUCAGAGUCCUGAGUGCUAACCAUUACACCAUGGAACCCCACUCAACCCCGGCCG